UUCCAAUACUGAUAACACUUGUUGUAAUAGUGAAAAUAUCUGUUUUACCUCUAAUUAGUAAUUAAAACAUUAGCUUUUUCUAUAUAUAAAACCUUUAAAAUCUUAUUUAUUUAUUCAUUCUUUCAUUACAUAUUUUCCACCACUACCCAGGAAGCCUAGGCCUCUUUGAGAACUCUACCCUUAGGCAAGGUAGUUCCUUUAAGGAGACCUUCAAAGCUUCAUCAUCACCUUGGAGGCUCUUCAUUGGGAGCUUGUGUGGGAGGAGGCCAUCAGGUGAAAGUUGUUAGCAUACAGCUUUAAGUAGCCCUACCAGGACGCCAACUCAAGCGAGCUCAGCCGUUAAUCCCGCUGAAAUUUACUGCUGCGUGGACAGAGGUGAGACAGCGGCACCUUUAGCGUCCUAAGAAGUUUUUAAGACAGAAAUAUUCUUUUUUACACAUUAUAUGCUAGGAUGAGCUAAUUGCCGAAUACAUCAACUUCCAUCUGCGACUGACCCCACAGCUCUGUGACAGCUUUCGGUUUCCAAAGGCCUUGCCAAAAACCAUGUCUCUCCUGUCCUUAGGAGGUGCACAUGCCCAACGUCAGGAAAGCAGCAUUAUGUAAAGGAAGAAAGCAAGGCAAGGGAUCCCAUUUGGCAGGUCUCCUGACACCUACAGGACACCGAAGCCAGGCCCUUCAACAGACGGCGGCGAGGCAGGCUUUCUCUAAUUGUGGUGAGCAGGGGCCACUCUACAGUUGCGAUGUGCAGGCUUCUCACUGGCUUCUCUUGUUGCAGAGCACAGGCUCUAGGGACCCUGGCUUCUUUCAGUUGUUUGGCUCUAAGGAAAGUAACUCAGAAGCUGUGGCAUGUGGAAUCUUCAUGGAAGGAAAGUGACUCAGUAGCUGUGGCAUGUGGAAUCUUCAUGGAAGGAAAGUGACUCAGUAGCUGUGGCAUGUGGAAUCUUCAUGGACCAGGGAUCAAACCUGUGUCCCCUGAGUUGGCAGGAGGAGUUUUAUCUACUUCUCCAAGAUGUCCUAUUCUGGUUAUUUUAAAUUUAUAUCAAUUGCAUAAUUAACUAUUAAAAAAAUAAAGCACUGUAAGAAAUUAAGCAUUUAGCUUUUAUAUAACUUCAUCUAAUGUCUACUAAAUGUUUUAGUUCCCUAGAAGUUCUUAGAAACUAUCCAUUUUAAUCCUGAAUAUUGUUUUGUGAAGUCAACUUCAGUCUCUUUUCUACUAAACGAUUUGCAAUUUGGUUCAACUCACGUAUCUGCUAAGUAAACUUUAUAUCUGUAUCUUUUACAAAUGGAACCCAACCCAUAAGCAGCUCGUUUCUUCUAACUUUAGAAAAAGCAUUCAAAAUAUGAAUGAUUCCCCUCAUACCUUCCUACUACCUGAAUUGAAGUCCCCAUCAACUCUCAUGUUAAUUGCUGCAAUUAACUACUAACAGAUCUUGACACUUUUCUGGUCCCCUAUAAUCUAUCACAUGCUAGCUUACAGGUUUAGCAAUUCUUGAUGAGACCAACGUGGCUUCUGCUUCAAGAUUGUUGCUUUAACUCUUCACUUCACCUGGCAUAUUCAACACUGGACUGCUGCAUGACUUGAUCCUUCAUUUUAUUCAAGUUUUGUUUGCAGAGGACAAUCAUGACCAGCUUAUCUGAAAUAUCCCAUUCCUUUAAACACUGGGAUUUUUCUAGUAUGAACUAGUUAUCCUUAACUGUUGCAUUUUUGUCUUGUCAACUUAACAGUUUUUCAUUGGCCUUUAGCCUUUAAUCCAUCAUUAUCAUUACAAAUUUUAUCACAAAAUAUCUCACUACAAUUAAAAAAAUUAUUGAGGUGUAGUUGAUUUAUAAUGUUAUGUUAAUUCCUGCUUUUCAGAAAAGUGAUUCAGUUAUACAUAUUUUUUCUAAAUUAUUCCUCCAUUUGUUUAUUUUUGGCAGUGGUAGAUCUUCGUUGCCGCACGCAGACUUUCUCUAGUUGUGGUGUGCAGGCUUCUCAUUGCAGUGGCUUCUCUUGCUGCAGAGCAGGGGCUCUAGGGCAUGCUGGCUUCCCUAGCUGUGGUACGUGGGCCACAGUAGUUGUGGCAUGUGGGCUUAGGUGCCCCGUGGCAUGUAGAAUCCUCUCAGACCAAGGAUCCAACCUGUGUCCCCUGCACUGGCAGAUUCCUAACCAAUGGACCACCAGAGAAGUCCCUAUUCUUUUUCAUAGUCUAUUUCAUAGUCCAAAAAGACUAUUCUUUUUCAUAGUCUUUUCUAUUACGGUUUAUUACAGGAUACUGAAUAUAGUUCCCUGUGCUAUACAAUAGGACUCUCUCUAUUUUCUUUUAAUAGAGCUUAUGUAUUCCCAUUCUUGUUUGAGAAGUUUUUCCCCACCCUUAGCUUUUAUAUGUAGCCUCCAAGAUUUACUUCUAACGUUGCUAUUCCAUAAUGCAUCUGAAAAUUACUUUGCAUUAUGAUGUGAAGUGGAAGCUUAACUUAGCUUCAUCCAUUCAUUUUACAAAUCUUUACUUCACUUUAUAUUUAUAUUUCUCCAUUGUAUUUGUGUUGAUUUAAGUGCUGAUUAUUGUCUGUUUUUCCUACUUGAAUGUAUUAUCCUCAUGAAUAAGGCAUUUUGUAUCUUGAUCAUCACCAAAACAUUUGAACUGCACACAGUAAGGAUCCUGUAAAUAUUUGUUAAAUAAAUUAACAAAUACAGACACUAACAUCAUUUAUUGUUUUAAUUCCUAAAGUAAUAUUUAGACUCAGAAUACACUUAAUCUUUUUCCAUGGGAAGUAUACUUUAUAUUUUCACUUCAUAAAUGAUGGAAUUGAGGAUAAGACCAUGAAACUACUUGUACUUGUUAGGUGAGUGGGAAAGCUGGAUGUGGAAUGCAUAGCCUGUGGAUCAUAAUGUCUUCUGUUGUCUGCAGUGAAGAAGUAACUCCCUCUAGGCUUUUAUUACUUCAACUAAAGAUAAGGAACAUGAUCCUGAUUUCCUAAGCAAUUAGUAAACCAUUCCAAGGACCUCAGAAUCACUGAUUCUAAUUACUUCUAGAAUCAGUUUCAAGUUUUCAUCAGGUAGCCAGAGAGUAAAGGUUUCCAUCUUCACAUGAAAAUUGAUGAUCAUGGAAAAUACUCUUUAAUCUCUUUAAUAUUGAUUAGUUUAGUCUAGUGACCUUGCAGAGAUUCCGGAAAUUUGAAUGCAUCUCUCCACUUUCCCUAGUCAUUCAGUUUGCCAGUCUGAUUUAUUUUUAUUUCACUCUAGAGAAAAUGCUCUUCUUAAUGUCCACCUGAAUUUUAAUGAUUUGUUUAUUUGUACACAGAUUAGUAGGAAAAAAAAUAUCCUCCAAUUACACUGGUAUUUCCAGAAGUCCAAGUCCUAGAUGGAUUUGUCUUAAUUAUAUUUCAGGUUCUUCUGACACUCACAAACACAUAAAAGCAAAUUUUAUUCUGUUCAUCUAUAUCUUUAAUUUGAGUAAUCAAUUGAUAUCUCCUCUAUCUUUAAAUUUACUGAUAUUUUCUCCUCAAAUGUCUUUUUGCUGAUAAUCCCAUCCAGCGAAUAAUUAAAUUACCAAUAUUAUAUUUUUAUUUUUUAGAUAUAUCAUUUGGUUCAUAUUUUCCAUUUCUCUCCUUUUUUGGUACAUAUUUUACUUUAAUCCUUCGGCAUAGUAAAAUCAGAUGUGUGUAUGUGCUAAGUUGUGCCCAGUAUUUUUUGAUCCCAUUGUCUGCAAGCUCUCCAGGCUCCUCUGUCUAUGGGAUUUCCCAUGUAAGAAUACUGGAGUGGGUUUCCAUUUCUUUUCCAGGGGAUCAUCCUCACCCAGGGAUCAAACGCAUAUCACCUGUAUUGACUCAUUCCACUGAGCCACCGGGGAAGCUCCGAAUAAAGUGUCUUGUCUGUAAAUUUUAUCAUCUCCAUCAUUUCUGUUUUUAAUGAUCAUUUAAAACACUUUUUGGUUGACAUUUUUUACAUAUCAUCAUGCUUCACAAAUUUUAUGUGGAUCUUGGAUGUUGUGAAUGUUAUAUUCAUGAGUAUCUGAAUUUUGCUGUUUUCCUUUAAAGAAUUACUGUCUGAACCACCAGGGAAGGAAUUAUGAGCUUUAUUAUGACAGUAUUAAUUCACUCAUCUAUCAGCUUUAGUUUGUUGAGAUUUGUCUAGGCAUUUUUUAAGAGUACCAAUUACUUUAGAAACUAUUUAGCCCUACUACUCAGUUCAGUUCAGUUCAGUCAUAGCAAACACCCUCUUCCAACAACACAAGAGAAGACUCUACACAUGGACAUCACCAGAUGGUCAACACCAAAAUCAGAUUGAUUAUAUUUUCUGCAGACAAAGAUGGAGAAGCUCUAUACAGUCAGCAAAAACAAGACCAGGAGCUGACUGUGGCUCAGAUCAUGAACUCCUUAUUGCCAAAUUCAGACUUAAAUUCAAGAAAGUAGGGAAAACCACUAGACCAUUGAGGUAUGACCUAAAUCAAAUCCCUUAUGAUUAUACAGUGGAAGUGAGAAAUAGAUUUAAUGGCCUAGAUCUGAUAGAUAGAGUGCCUGAUGAACUAUGGAAUGAGGUUCGUAACACUGUACAGGAGACAGGGAUCAAGACCAUCCCCAUGGAAAAGAAAUGCUAAAGAGUAAAAUGGCUGUCUGGGGAGGCCUUACAAAUAGCUGUGAAAAGGAGAGAAAUGAAAAGCAAAGGAGAAAAGGAAAGAUACAAGCAUCUGAAUGCAGAGUUCCAAAGAAUAGCAAGAAAAGAUAAGAAAGCCUUCCUCAGCAAUCAAUGCAAAGAAAUAGAGGAAAACAACAGAAUGGGAAAGACUAAAGAUCUCUUCAAGAAAAUUAGAGAUACCAAGGGAACAUUUCAUGCAAAGAUGGGCUCAAUAAAGGACAGAAAUGGUAUGGACCUAACAGAAGUAGAAGGUAUUAAGAAGAGGUGGCAAGAAUACACAGAAGAACUGUACAAAAAAGAUCUUCACGACCAAGAUAAUCACGAUGGUGUGAUCACUGACCUAGAGCCAGACAUCCUGGAAUGUGAAGUCAAGUGGGCCUUAGAAAGCAUCACUACAAACAAAGCUAGUGGAGGUGAUGGAAUUCCAGUGGAGCUAUUUCAAAUCCUGAAAGAUGAUGCUGUGAAAGUGCUGCACUCAAUAUGCCAGCAAAUUUGGAAAACUCAGCAGUGGCCACAGGACUGGAAAAGUCAGUUUUCAUUCCAAUCCCAAAGAAAGGCAAUGCCAAAGAAUGCUCAAACUACCGCACAAUUGCACUCAUCUCAAACGCUAGUAAAGUAAUGCUCAAAAUUCUCCAUGCCAGGCUUCAGCAAUACGUGAACCGUGAACUUCCUGAUGUUCAGUCUGGUUUUAGAAGAGGCAGAGGAACCAGAGACCAAAUUGCCAACAUCCACUGGGUCAUCGAAAAAGCAAGAGAGUUCCAGAAAAGCAUCUACUUCUGCUUUAUUGACUAUGCCAAAGCCUUUGACUGUGUGGAUCCCAAUAAACUGUGGGAAAUUCUGAAAGAGAUGGGAAUACCAGACCACCUGAUCUGCCUCUUGAGAAAUUUGUAUGCAGGUCAGGAAGCAACAGUUAGAACUGGACAUGGAACAACAGACUACUCAAGUUGUGGGAAUUUUACAGUUUCUACUGAAUGAUCAAGUGAGAAAUGAAAAAUCUAUGAUGAAUCAGAGCUAAAAAGUCUGCCUAUAUAGUGUGAUUUCUGAGAAUUAUUCUGUUUACAGCACACUCAUCGUUCUUUGCAAGGCCUCCUGGAAUUUUGCUCCAUAUGUACAUACCUGGCGUAGUGUUUGGCAAAGAUAGAACAGAUUCCUGUUCAGGUUUCUGGUACUCUUUCUCUGUGUAGAUCUGCCUUCUCCAAAAUUCUUCUCAGUGACAUUCUUUAACCUCACUAACUUCUAAUCUCUGUCUCCUCGACUCUGUGAAACCACUAUGCUCUUCUUUGAAAAUUUCCAUCCUAGUAUGGAAAUUGGAAUGAGUUUCUAGGAAGAAAACUAGGGCCAUAGCGGAGUCCACCUUCAUUUCUCUUCUCUCAGAGGUAACAUUUCUGUGCUGCCUGCUAUCCAACAUCUGAAGAUAACUCUUACAUGUAUGGUAUCUGGUCUUCUACUCGUUAAGAGUAGGAAGGUGUAAUGCACUGAAUUAUGCCUGCCCAAAAUGCAUACAUUAAAGCUGUGAUCCCCAGUGCCUUAGAAUGUGACUGUAUUGGAGAUAAGACCUUUAAAGAUGUGACUGAGAUAAAAUGAGACCAUACAAGUGGACCUUAAUUUAUUACAAUUGGUGGUCUUAUACAAAGAGAUAAUUAGGACACAGAUGCACAUAGACCAGGGGACAACCAUGUGAGGAAUCAGUAAGAAGAUGGCUGUCUCCAGAUCAAGGAGAGAGACCCCAGAAGAAAGCAAACUUGGCUACACUUGGAUCUUGGACAUGGAUACUGCACUUCUGCACUUUGAUCUUGGAGUUCUAGUCUCCAGAACUGUGAGAAAUACAUUUCUGUUAUUUAAGCCACAGCGUCUGUGGUAUUUUGUUAUGGUAGUCCCAGUAAACUCAUGCAGGUCAAGUCAGAUUUUCAUUACUUCAUCCUUUCCAACAGAAGAGUGCCUUAAUAACAUUAUAAAUUGCCCAGUAUCAUUUAAAUUAUAUCUUAAAAAUCAAGUAUUCCACAUAUCACCUAGAUGCCAUUUAGAUAGAAGAUUUAUUUGAGGAAACACAAGUGUUGUAACUGUUAAAUUGGAUAUUGUGCAAUCUUUUAUUUGAAUGAUUCACAGUAUCUUAUUAUACAACAUAGUCUUGUUUCAGUAAAUCAGUGAGAAAAAAAGCAAAUGGCCUUUUCUUCCUCUAGCACUGAGUACUACAGCAACUGUUGUGCAUUUUAUAAAUGAACACUUUUUCCAUGAAAGGAAAAGGGGCAGCAAUUUCCUGUAUGUCCAUUGACUCCUAAGGAUGAUGUAAGUUAUGGUUAUAGAUUAUUAACUUUUAAAUACACAUGACACGGUAUUUUUCACAGUGCCCGCCUCUACUAGAUGAUGGAAAUGAUCAAGUGAGCUUCUUAAAUGGACUAGUAAAUGAAAGAACUAAGACUCUUACCAAUUAACCUUCCUGUUUCUGUGAGCUCUUGGUGUUUUUCCACAUUAAAGGGGAUAGUUUCAUCAUUUUGGGUAAGGUCGCUGUUCUUUUCCCAUAUGAGCAUGCCCAGUGGGAUAUUUAGAAAUUUUUGUUUGUUUAUGCUAAGAAUGAUCAAAACUUAUUUUAACAAAUGCUUUUGUAAGCCUGCGCAAAUUAACCAAUGAAUACAAGAUUUUCUUAAGAAUGAGUAUACUACCCAAACCACUUUAUAGAUUUAAUGCAAUCCCCAUCAAGCUACCAAUGGUAUUCUUCACAGAGCUAGAACAAAUAAUUUCACAAUUUGUAUGGAAAUACAAAAAACCUCGAAUAGCCAAAGCUAUCUUGAGAAAGAAGAAGGGAACUGGAGGAAUUAACCUACCUGACUUCAGGCUCUAUUACAAAGCCACAGUUAUCAAGACAGUAUGGUACUGGCACAAAGACAGAAAUAUUGAUCAAUGGAACAAAAUAGAAAGCCCAGAGAUAAAUCCACACACAUAUGGACACCUUAUCUUUGACAAAGUAGGCAAGAAUAUACAAUGGAUUAAAGACAAUCUCUUUAACAAGUGGUGCUGGGAAAACUGGUCAACCACUUAUAAAAGAAUGAAACUAGAACACUUUCUAACACCAUACACAAAAAUAAACU
ensembl:lncRNA